GAUGAACGCUGGCGGCGUGCCUAAUACAUGCAAGUCGAGCGAACGGACGAGAAGCUUGCUUCUCUGAUGUUAGCGGCGGACGGGUGAGUAACACGUGGAUAACCUACCUAUAAGACUGGGAUAACUUCGGGAAACCGGAGCUAAUACCGGAUAAUAUUUUGAACCGCAUGGUUCAAAAGUGAAAGACGGUCUUGCCGUCACUUAUAGAUGGAUCCGCGCUGCAUUAGCUAGUUGGUAAGGUAACGGCUUACCAAGGCAACGAUGCAUAGCCGACCUGAGAGGGUGAUCGGCCACCCUGGAACUGAGACACGGUCCUGACUCCUACGGGAGGCAGCAGUAGGGAAUCUUCCGCAAUGGGCGAAAGCCUGACGGAGCAACGCCGCGUGAGUGAUGAAGGUCUUCGGAUCGUAAAACUCUGUUAUUAGGGAAGAACAUAUGUGUAAGUAACUGUGCACAUCUUGACGGUACCUAAUCAGAAAGCCACGGCUAACUACGUG
rnacentral:rRNA from 1 species